rnacentral:rRNA from 1 species
AAGACCUUGCGCUUUUGGAGCGGCCGAUGCCUGAUUAGCUUGUUGGUAAGGUAAAAGCUUACCAAGGCUUCGAUCAGUAGCUGGUCUGAGAGGACGGCCAGCCACACUGGGACUGAGACACGGCCCAGACUCCUACGGGAGGCAGCAGUGGGGAAUUUUGGACAAUGGGGGCAACCCUGAUCCAGCCAUGCCGCGUGAGUGAAGAAGGCCUUCGGGUUGUAAAGCUCUUUCAGCCGGAACGAAACGGUUACGGUUAAUAUCCGUGACUACUGACGGUACCGGAAGAAGAAGCACCGGCUAACUACGUGCCAGCAGCCGCGGUAAUACGUAGGGUGCGAGCGUUAAUCGGAAUUACUGGGCGUAAAGCGUGCGCAGGCGGUUUUGUAAGUCAGAUGUGAAAUCCCCGGGCUUAACCUGGGAACU